AGUGAACGCUGGCGGUAGGCCUAACACAUGCAAGUCGAACGGCAGCACAGUAAGCUCUUGCUCUUACGGGUGGCGAGUGGCGGACGGGUGAGGAGUACAUCGCCAUCUACUUUUUCGUGGGGGAUAACGUAGGGCCACUUACACUAAUACAGCAUACGACGUACGGGAGAGAGCAGUAGAUCUUCGCACCUUUCGCGUCUGAUUUAGCUGAUGUCGGAUUAGCUAGUUGGCGGGGUAAAGGCACACCAAGGCGACGAUCCGUAGCUGGUCUGAGAGGAUGAUCAGCCACACUGGAACUGAGACACGGUCCAGACUCCUACGGGAGGCAGCAGUGGGGAAUAUUGGACAAUGGGCGCAAGCCUGAUCCAGCCAUGCCGCGUGGGUGAAGAAGGCCUUCGGGUUGUAAAGCCCUGUUGUUGGGAAAGAAAAGCAGCGGGUUAAUACACCGCUGUUCUGACGGUACCCAAAGAAUAAGCACCGGCUAACUUCGUG
rnacentral:rRNA from 1 species